rnacentral:lncRNA from 1 species
CUGCCAUCUGUGGUGGCCUAGAGAAAAUGAAAAUGACAGGGUUCCAGAAUUUUUGAGGCCACGUGGUGGCACCUUGGACAUAACCAAUAGGCAGCAAGGCUAGAGUAGCAACAAAAAAGGCCUGACUCACUGGGAUUUGUGCUGGGGUUUUAUUCCUGGUUCUGGCUGUUUUCCCAGACCUCACCCAGGAGAAUAAGAGGAGCUCUGCUUGGAUCCUGCUAUUACAGAAUUGUCAAAAGGAACAUUCCUCCAACCGCUUACAUUUUGUAGUAUAUUUGAGCAAAACAACACGAUUCCCAAAUCAGCCACUCCAACCAAGGAUGUGAUCUGACAGCACUUAUUCAAAAACAGAGGAGGCAGUUUGUCUCUGUGGUAGUAGACAGAAACGUGCCUUCAAGUUUUGAAAUGCAGACAGCUUGAGAAACUACACUGGCUCCUCAAUCCUACACUUUGUAGGAACUUUCUGAAAAUUGCCAGCAAUCAAAGUGUUCUUUAAG